rnacentral:sRNA from 1 species
CCAAUAGAGUUGAAGGCUGAAGUUUCCUGUUUGUUCACAAUCUUAUAUAACUGGGCUGCAAUAGUGCAAGCUUCUCAAUACUACCUUGCCAGUUUCCCUCAACUCUGACCUAGAGAGACCACCUCUAGAGGAAGAGAGAGUGAUUAAUUCUCCCUCCUCCAUUGCAUUGUUGACCUUCU